CUCGCAGCACGAAAAUUAAAAUAAGUUUCAUUCAUUCCUCUCGGUACUCUCUCUCUGUAUCUCAAUCCCAAAUUAAAAUCCCAAAAUAGGAACUCAAAUCUUCUUCCUAAAUUAGAGACUCUUCUUCUCUCCCUCUAAACUCUCUCACGCCUACUCUCCCUUUCGAUCCUGCACCAGUUGCCACCGUCGCCGUCGGUCUUGAUCCAGCCGCCACAGCCCGCUGUCGUCGCGGAAGCUCCAGGUGUCGCCGCUGUCUCCGGCCGAGCGGCAGCUGUCCCUCCCCCGUCUCUACCAUUCUCUCUUUCUCUCCGGUAGAGCACGAUGAUUCAGAAUUAUCCUAAAUGAAUGCAAGGAAUUCAAUGCUAGGAAUUGAUCAGUGAUUACCUUCUUAGGCGGCAGGAAACUCUUUUCUCCAACUCGGUUCUUUUUUCUAUAUUUUUUUCAAGGUUUCUGAAAGGUUUAGGCGGCAGAAAACUCUCUUCUCCAACACGGUUCUUUUUUCUAUAUUUUUUUCAAGGUUUCUGAAAGGUGGGAGACGUGUGGGGGUGUAUAUAUAUAGAUAUACAUAGGUGAAAUUGUUACUGAAUGCCUCCUAAUUCUUAGGGAAGAUAUUUGAAUGGAAGAUUUGAGUA